rnacentral:rRNA from 1 species
GACGAACGCUGGCGGCGUGCUUAACACAUGCAAGUCGAACGGAAAGGCCCUGCUUUUGUGGAGUGCUCGAGUGGCGAACGGGUGAGUAACACGUGAGUAACCUGCCCUUGACUUUGGGAUAACUUCAGGAAACUGGGGCUAAUACCGGAUAGGAGCUCCUGCUGCAUGGUGGGGGUUGGAAAGUUUCGGCGGUUGGGGAUGGACUCGCGGCUUAUCAGCUUGUUGGUGGGGUAGUGGCUUACCAAGGCUUUGACGGGUAGCCGGCCUGAGAGGGUGACCGACCACAUUGGGACUGAGAUACGGCCCAGACUCCUACGGGAGGCAGCAGUGGGGAAUAUUGCACAAUGGGCGGAAGCCUGAUGCAGCAACGCCGCGUGCGGGAUGACGGCCUUCGGGUUGUAAACCGCUUUCGCCUGCGACGAAGCGUGAGUGACGGUAAUGGGUAAAGAAGCACCGGCUAACUACGUG